rnacentral:lncRNA from 1 species
UUUAAAUUUUAUUUAUUUAUUUAUUAACUUUUAUUUUAAUCUCUGUUCUUACCUACCACAAUUAGCAGUGCAGGAUUGUCAUUUUACAGCAGCAGAGAGAGUUCCUGUGUCAGCAAGUGAAGAGUUCCCCAGGGCUCCUGCAAAGGCUCUGUCCUGCUCUUGCCAGGCCCACAGCUUGCCUUUGAUGCUGAAGCACACAAAAGCCAGUGGGUUGCAAAAACUCAGGAUCUCAAGUACCACAGUGACACCUGGAAGCACUGGUGCACUUCCCUGAGUAGCUAAGUCAUUAACAGCAUCCUCUGGAGUUCUUAUGGAUACAUCUGCACUAAAGAUGGCCCAUGGACUAGUAGUGUCUUCUGCAGAACUGAGAACCACCAACAUGGCACAUUUGGCUCAGCAGAGCUGCACUUCUCCUUUAACCAGCACCAGAACACCCCUCAGUGCCCAGAGAGGCCUUGUGAUGGCCAUUCCAUUGCCAGGGAAAUUCCCAACUGUUGCAGGGUCAAGACUCUUUUCACCAUGCUGUGGGGUUGGCAGGCAUGUUUCAGGUGCUGCCCUGUGCGCUGUGGUCCUUGCUGCUCAGGAACAGUCACACUCUGAGGAAAAUGAAGACUGACCAGCUCCCCUGACUCUUGUCUUCUAUGAUUUAUGGCAAUGGUGCCUGCUGUAGACCAUACCCCAGAUCUGCUCCUAACCCACCCUGGAA